GAGUUUGAUCAUGGCUCAGAACGAACGCUGGCGGCGUGCUUAACACAUGCAAGUUGCGCGCGAAAGGGGUAACCUGAGUAGAGCGGCGCACGGGUGCGUAACACGUGGGUAAUCUGCCCUACAGAGUUGAAUAACCUUCCGAAAGGUUGGCUAAUGUGACGUACGUUUUCCUGUUAGCUAUAGGAAAAGAAAGGAUGGCCUCUAUUAAUAAGCCAUCGCUGUAGGAUGAGCCCGCGGCCCAUCAGCUAGUUGGUAAGGUAAUGGCUUACCAAGGCAAAGACGGGUAGCUGGUCUGAGAGGACGAUCAGCCACACUGGAACUGAGACACGGUCCAGACUCCUACGGGAGGCAGCAGUGGGGAAUAUUGCACAAUGGGCGAAAGCCUGAUGCAGCAACGCCGCGUGAGGGAUGAAGGGUUUCGGCUCGUAAACCUCUUUCGACCGGGAAGAAAAACUGCUUGCUAAUAGUAAGCAGCUUGACGGUACCGAGGGAAGAAGCACCGGCUAACUCUGUGCCAGCAGCCGCGGUAAUACAGAGGGUGCAAGCGUUGUUCGGAAUUAUUGGGCGUAAAGCGCGUGUAGGCGGCUUAAUAAGUUGAUUGUGAAAGCCCUCGGCUU
rnacentral:rRNA from 1 species